CCUACGGGUGGCAGCAGUGAGGAAUAUUGGUCAAUGGACGAGAGUCUGAACCAGCCAAGUAGCGUGAAGGAUGACUGCCCUAUGGGUUGUAAGCUUCUUUUAUAAAGGAAUAAAACGAGGCACGUGUGCCUUUUUGCAUGUACUUUAUGAAUAAGGAUCGGCUAACUACAUGCCAGCAGCCGCGGUAAUACGGAGGAUCCGAGCGUUAUCCGGAUUUAGUGGGUUUAAAGGGAGCGUAGAUGGGUUGUUAAGUCAGUUGUGAAAGUUUGCGGCUCAACCGUAAAAUUGCAAUUGAUACUGGCAGUCUUGAGUACAGGUGAGGUAGGCGGAAUUCGUGGUGUAGCGGUGAAAUGCUUAGAUAUCACGAAGAACCCCGAUUGCGAAGGCAGCUUACUAAACUGUGACUGAUAUUGAUGCUCGAAAGUGUGGGUAUCAAACAGGAUUAGAUACCCCUGUAGUC
rnacentral:rRNA from 1 species